rnacentral:rRNA from 1 species
GACGAACGCUGGCGGCGUGCUUAACACAUGCAAGUCGAACGGAAAGGCCCUGCUUGCAGGGUACUCGAGUGGCGAACGGGUGAGUAACACGUGGGUGAUCUGCCCUGCACUUCGGGAUAAGCCUGGGAAACUGGGUCUAAUACCGGAUAGGAGCCAUUUUUAGUGUGAUGGUUGGAAAGUUUUUUCGGUGUAGGAUGAGCUCGCGGCCUAUCAGCUUGUUGGUGGGGUAAUGGCCUACCAAGGCGGCGACGGGUAGCCGGCCUGAGAGGGUGGACGGCCACAUUGGGACUGAGAUACGGCCCAGACUCCUACGGGAGGCAGCAGGGGGGAAUAUUGCACAAUGGGCGCAAGCCUGAUGCAGCGACGCCGCGUGGGGGAUGACGGCCUUCGGGUUGUAAACUCCUUUCACUAGGGACGAAGCUUUUUGUGACGGUACCUAGAUAAGAAGCACCGGCUAACUACGUG